UACGUAGGUGGCGAGCGUUAUCCGGAAUGAUUGGGCGUAAAGGGUGCGUAGGCGGCGUGCCAAGUCUGGAGUGAAAAGGAGGGGCUCAACCCCUGCUGGCUUUGGAAACUGGCAUGCUGGAGAGCAGGAGAGGGCGGUGGAACUCCAUGUGUAGCGGUAAAAUGCGUAGAUAUAUGGAAGAACACCAGUGGCGAAGGCGGCCGCCUGGCCUGUUACUGACGCUGAGGCACGAAAGCGUGGGGAGCAAAUAGG
rnacentral:rRNA from 1 species